rnacentral:tRNA from 1 species
UAGAAAGUGGUGUAGAGGAAGCACAGAGAGUUUUGAUCUCUCUAGGUGGGGUUCGAUUCCCCUGUUUCUAA